AAUUAUGUGAGACAUUGUCUUAACAUCUUUGUUGCAGAAAAGGGACAUGUCUCUUCAUUCCAUCUCAACGAGAUAGAGGAUAGAGUCAAGGAAGCUUGGUGGAGUUAGAUUGCACAAUGAGGAGUAAAUCUCCCCCCUUGAUCAACUCUAUUCAACAAUAAUUCAGAAUUCCAUCAAUAUUUGUUGGAUACAAUAACUCAAAUCUAGGACCUUUCACCCUCGUGAUUUACAAAUUGCUGUUAACCAAGUGCAAUUAUGGCUCUUGGUACGA
rnacentral:misc_RNA from 1 species